rnacentral:rRNA from 1 species
UAACGAAUCUUCCGCAAUGCGCGAAAGCGUGACGGGGCAAUGCCGCGUGGUGGAUGAAGCCCUUCGGGGUGUAAACACCUGUCAGGGUUUAGGAACACAAUGACCAGACCCAAAGGAAGAGCCGGCUAACUCUGUGCCAGCAGCCGCGGUAAUACAGAGGGCUCGAGCGUUAAUCGGAAUCACUGGGCUUAAAGCGUGCGUAGGCGGGUGCAUAGGCACCUUGUGAAAUCCCCCGGCUCAACCGGGGAAU